UACGGGGGGGCAAGCGUUGUUCGGAAUUACUGGGCGUAAAGGGCUCGUAGGUGGCCAACUAAGUCAGACGUGAAAUCCCUCGGCUUAACCGGGGAACUGCGUCUGAUACUGGAUGGCUUGAGAUUGGGAGAGGGACGCGGAAUUCCAGGUGUAGCGGUGAAAUGCGUGAGAUAUCUGGAGGAACACCGGUGGCGAAGGCGGCAUCCUGGACCGACACUGACGCUGAGGAGCGAAAGCCAGGGGAGCAAACGGG
rnacentral:rRNA from 1 species